rnacentral:rRNA from 1 species
UGGCGGCGAUGCCUUUAUGCAUGCAAGUCGNAACGGGAAAUGGNAGGCUUCGGCCUUCAUUCAAGUGGCAAACGGGUGAGUAACGCGUAAGUGACCUGCCCCGCAGCGGGGGAUAACUCUAAGAAAUUGGAGCUAAUACCGCAUGAUGCACCAAGGGUAAAUCCUUGGUGCCAAAGCCGAAAGGCGCUGUGGGAGGGGAUUGCGUCCUAUCAGGUAGUUGGUGGGGUAACUGCCUACCAAGCCGAUGACGGGUAGCUGGUCUGAGAGGAUGUCCAGCCACACUGGGAUUGAGAUACGGCCCAGACUCCUACGGGAGGCAGCAGCAAGGAAUUUUGCGCAAUGGGCGAAAGCCUGACGCAGCAACGCCGCGUGGGUGAAGAAGGCCUUCGGGUCGUAAAGCCCUUUUGCUAGGGAAGAAGAUCUGACGGUACCUANCGAAUAAGCCUCGGCUAACUACUUGCCAGCAGCCGCGGUAAUACGUUGGAGGCGAGCGUUAUCCGGAUUCAGUG